rfam:Triticum aestivum genome assembly, contig: Triticum_aestivum_CS42_TGACv1_scaffold_404124_5BL
UUUGUACUCCCUCCGUCCCAAAAUUCUUGUCUUAAAUUUUUCUAAAUACGGAUGUAUCUAGUUACAUUUUAGUGUUAGAUACAUCCGUAUCUAAACAAAUGUAAGACAAGAAUUUUGGGACGGAGGGAGUACUAC